CCGAUGUAGCUCAGCUGGCAGAGCACGUGAUUUGUAAUCUCGGGGUCGUGGGUUCAAUUCCCUCCAUCGG
rnacentral:tRNA from 1 species